GCUGGGUGUGGUGGCGUGUGCCUGUAGCCCUAGCUACUUGGGAGGCUGAGGCAGGAGGAUUGCUUGAGUCCAGGAGUUCUGGGCUACAGUGUGCUAUGCCGAUUGGGUGUCUGCACUAAGUUCGGCAUCAAUAUGGUGACCUCCUGGGUGCAGGGGAUCAGCAAGUUACCUAAGGAGGGGUGAACCAGCCUAGGUCAGAAAUGGAGCAGGUGAAAAACUAGUUUAGCUAGGUGUGGUAGUGUAUUGCCUUUAAUCCUAGCACUUCGGAGGCAGAGGUAGGAAGACUGCCGUAA
rnacentral:SRP_RNA from 1 species